AACCGUCUUUUGAAAUGUCUUGUUUGAAGCACGUCGUAGCUCCGCUAUAUGAUUCCAGUUUAUCGUAAUCGAGUUAGCACCCCCGCUUCGUGGAACCAUUCAGGUUUGAGACUUGGUCCCUCCCUUUGGCAACUAGGUAAGUUUCCAUCUAUUUUUUUGGAUUUCGUUCCUAUCUAGGGCUGGGAAUCCUUGUGUUUGGUAUCUAGCAUAUUGAAAAGAAAAUUAGGUCAAAAAUUCCGACGAAAUCACUACUCGGAGUACCCUCCCCCAAAAAGAAAGGGAUCCAUUUCGGCAACGUGUAUGAACAAUUCCUAAUUAUCGUCAUAGUAUUUGGCUUGCAAUAAAGCUAGGGUCCUAACCCUUCUCAAGUAAUUCAUUCCAUUCAAUUGAUCACAACUACCUCUGCGAUCUAAUGCUUCGACCGGGCAGUUUUCAAAGAAAAGCAAAGAAAAAAUUGGCAAAAUAAAGUGGUCGUCCAAAGCCUUCGAUCCAACCACCUCCACCACACACGUUUUAAAAGUUUACAAGCUUAAAAUCGAGUUUUCAGACUUUAAAUGUCCAGAAAAGAAUUUUACCUAGUCAUAGAUCAAUUUAUGUUUUGCGGUUGCUUUGAUUGCAAUAUUCUUAUGAAUCCUAUGCCUAGAUAAAUCAUGGCUAGUCCUAAGACCUUAGCUCACCAAAUUGCUUCACCAUAUAUGUUUCUCUGUUUAAUUGAGUGAAACACUAGUGGUAAAACAACGAGUGUUGAGAUUCAAAGAUUUAUAGAUUGAGAGAUUUUGAGAGGUCUAUUCUUUGUGCACUAACCAUGUUUUGUGAGGUUCAAAAUAAAUUGAUGGAAAUACGACACAGGCUCAAGGUCACUCAAGCAAGGCCACAGAACAAGGCUAGACCACCUAAAGUGGCACCACUACCAGCACUCACACUUGGUGAGCAUGAACCUCUAAUUGUCGCAUCUUUUGAGGAUCAAUAUCAAUGAGAGGAUCUUACUUCAUUCCAAUCAACACAACAUCCUUUUUUAUUUUUAUAGGAAAAAUUUAUGUUUUAUGAAGCUACCUACAAUAAAACAGUAAUCUUUACCACCAAAAAAAUAGAACAAUCGCUUCUCCAUUCGUUUGUUUCUUUUCAUUUUCUCAUCCCCCCUUUCUUUCAUACUAAACCCAAAUUUUACCCCAUUAAUACUUAUUUAACAUGUUUCAUUCAAACUCAUUUAUCAUCUUCCAUUCAACUAAUUAACCCACGAAUCCCUUUAUCAAACAAGAGACAUAUAUAGCAAAUAGUAGAAAUACCAACUGUAAUACCCCAAUCCUAGUACAAAAAUAUUAAUGUAAAAAUCUCUAACCUUAUCCGUAAGAAUUUGGUUUAUACUAGUAUUGUCUAGUAUUAUUUUUAAAGUGCUUAACUAAAUGUUCAUCAAAAAUUAGAUUGACAUUAUUAGACUUGUGUGUGAGGAUUGAAUUCAUG
rnacentral:lncRNA from 1 species